GCCUGCCCUGUGACAUUGUUUAACGGCCGCGGUAUUAUGACCGUGCGAAGGUAGCGUAAUCACUUGUCUUUUAAUUGAAGACCUGUAUGAAAGGCAUCACGAGAGUUUACCUGUCUCUAUUUUCCAAUCAAUGAAAUUGAUCUCCCCGUGCAGAAGCGGGGAUAAAACCAUAAGACGAGAAGACCCUAUGGAGCUUUAAACACUUAAGUUAUUAUCUUAACCAAUAAUUAAUCUAAAGACUAAACCUACCAUAAUGAUAGCCUAACUUAAUGUUUUCGGUUGGGGCGACCAAGGAGUAAAAUAAAACCUCCUUAUCGAUUGAGUAUACUUACUUAAAAAUCAGAACGACAGUUCUAAUUAAUAGAACAUCUAACGAACAAUGACCCAGGACAAUCCUGAUCAAUGAACCAAGUUACCCUAGGGAUAACAGCGCAAUCCUUUCUAAGAGUCCAUAUCGCCGAAAGGGUUUACGACCUCGAUGUUGGAUCAGGACAUCCUAAUGGUGCAACCGCUAUUAAGGGUUCGUUUGUUCAACGAUUAACAGUCCUACGUGAUUGAGUUCAGACCG
rnacentral:rRNA from 1 species